CUAUGAUCUAAGGACCUAAAGCCCUCACACUGGAAGCUUCCUGUGUAAUCCAGAGUCUCCUGCCUGCUAUGAAUGAAUCCAUUGCUAGUCCUAGGCCCUGCAUGGAUGCCAAGGAGAAAAGAAGAUGAAGGUGUGGAUUUCUUUUGAGUUUGGCCCAAAUGUGGCACCAGUGGACUACCUGAGGAAAGGGUGUGGCGGACCUUUGUGGGGCUGUCAUUGUGGCAGGAGCCAAGAGACCUGGGUUCUCUGUUACGUGUCCUGGUGCCCUUGAGUCUAUGUAAAUACCAUCAGAUAGCUUUCCUCUGUGUGAAUGGAGGGUUAUAGACAUCUGUACCUGGCUGCAUGCACACGGUAAAGAAGGGUCCAUAUACAAGAGGGACUGCAGAUCUUCAGAAAAAAGGAGGGCGGAGGCAUGGGCCCUAGAAGAUUGUCCGUUGGCAUUCUUGGUGCAACACUGCCAUCAAGCGGAAUUGCUUUCAUGUUUGUGCCACCAUCUUAGUGUGCACAUUGUCAGAAAGUCUAGAGUGAAGGAGCGAGGAAUAAAUGGGGACCGUGGUCCAAAAACAGAACCAAAGGGGGCUCCUGUUAUUCCAAUUCAGAUAAUGGGCGAGAGGACCUCACCAUUUGCCAGCCCUGGAGGCUCGCCCUACCCCAGAGCAAUCACCUAGCAACACAGAGAAGUACAGGCUUGGAUUUCCUGUGGCAGCCAUAUUUGUCAGGGUGGGAGGAGCCCUCUGCCUAGGAGUUAGCAGCUUUGAGCAGAUAUGUCAUAGCGUCAAGGAUCAGAGCCUGUUCUUGGGCAUGUGGUCACAACAGGAUCCCCAGCUUCUUGAUUUUUUUUUUUUAACUCUCAACUGUAUUUACCGCUAUUUGGUGAAAUCAGACUCCGCCCUUGGGAGUCUUAACUCUGUUAAUGGGCUUGGAGAUCCCGAGAUGCGCCACCUAGUGGUCAUUUAUCUGUCAGUCAGUUCUUCAUUCCCUCAUUCCUUUCUUCCUUCCUCCUUCAACUCCUCCUUCUUCUCUUCCUUCCUCCUGUCCUGCUGACAUCCCCGUGUGCUCUCUUUGCUUCAUGUUCAGUUUCUUCCUUGUUUUUUGUCUUUUCUGCAUUUAGACUUUCUUUUUGUGUCUGUCACAUGAAAAAUAAAAACCCAGAGACAGAUAUUGGGAUUAAAGCUGAGGAUCAGAGAAGCAAACCAGCCAGCCACCUGAGAGUUCUCACCUCUACCAAUGCUCAGAGCAAAUGGGUGAUGCACCCAACCUCAGAUUGCAUCUCCAGACUGCAUGGCUCCUCACCAAAACUGAUAAUCCUAGAC
rnacentral:lncRNA from 1 species